UAGAGAGCCAUGACGUCAGUGCAGUCGAAGAUCCAAAGCGAGUAGACGUGCAUGUAGCCUGUCACCAGCCACGGCAUGCAGAAGAGGCAGCACCGGGUGGAGAGAGGGAAAGGGAGUGGUGAGCUGGGGGAAUGAGUUAUUUGAGAACGGCCUUCUGGCUGGUGAGAAGCAAUGACAGAAGAGGGAGUGUGAUGAAUACCCAGCAUCACGACUCUCAAGGGAGGUUAUCCGAACAAAAGGACCGUGUUUUUACCGGAAAAUAUCGGAAAUGCAGGACGCCAAGGGAGUGUGAGUCUGUCUAACCAAAAUCUAGCCAGCCAUGGCCAAGCAGACUAAAGAUGAGGGGACGCUGAGAGGAGAGAGGGAGCGAGUCUCUCUCUCUGGAAGGCUCGGAAUGGUGGUCAUGUUCUUCGUCCUGCUGCGACGUGACAAAUGGAAGGGAGUGACGGGUAUGAAGGGACCGUGGAGUGAUGCUUGUGCUGUGUGUGUGUCUGUGUGUCUGUGUCUGUGGACAGUAUUCUGAAACACUGCUGCACCACAUCCUCACUACAUUCAGAGUCUUAAGUUAAAGUCACAAAGGUUUUUAAAGGUCUUUUUACGUUUCUAGUGACAAAUGAACAAGAUUUAUAUACUCAACGAGGUCAGUGUGUCAUAUUACACCAAUCGUCAUGAAUUUUUCUAUGGACUGAGUGCAGUACUGUACUGAUCAUUCACUUACAAUAUCAAGAUGUCUUAAAAGAAAAAAAAAAAUCACUUUUUAUGUAAAUUUACUACCCAUUUAAAAUGGGAUGAGUUUCUGUGUUUUUAAUCCGAUUUCAGUUUUCUUUAUAUAGAAUUAAAGAAUGAACAUUCCUCUACUUUUCCAAGUUAGACAAUCCAUGGAUUCGAAAAAUAAUAGUACUUAUGAAUUUUGUAUUAAUGUACUCAUUCUCUACUAUUUUUUUAAUGUUUCC